rnacentral:rRNA from 1 species
UUACCGGCUUGACAUGACAGAGAUUCCUUCGGGCACAGGUGCUGCAUGGCUGUCGUCAGCUCGUGUCGUAAGAUGUUAGGUUAAGUCCUGCAACGAGCGCAACCCUGUUUUAGUUGCCAGCAUAUGGGACUCUAGAAGACUGCCGGUGUUAACCGGAGGAAGGCGGGGAUGACGUCAAGUCCUCAUGGCCCUUACGCCGGGCUACACACGUACUACAAUGGGAAACAACAGGCACCGCGAGGGGAGCAAUCUGUAAAACAUCUCAGUCCGGAUUGAAGUCUGCAACUCGACUUCAUGAAGCUGGAAUCGCUAGUAAUCGGAAUCAGCACGUUCGGUGAAUACGUUCCCGGGCCUUGUACACACCGCCCGUCACACCACGAGAGUGGUCUACCGAA